rnacentral:rRNA from 1 species
UACGAAGGGGGCUAGCGUUGCUCGGAAUCACUGGGCGUAAAGGGUGUCUAGGCGGUCAGGUAAGUGAGAUGUGAAAUGCCCCGGCUUACCCGGGGACCGGCAUCUCAUACUGUCUGGCUUGAGUAUGGGAGAGGAUGAGGGAAUUCCUGGUGUAGCGGUGAAAUGCGUAGAUAUCAGGAGGAACACCGGUGGCGAAAGCGCUCAUCUGGCCCAAUACUGACGCUGAAGCACGAAAGCUAGGGGAGCAAACGGG